GUAGCAUCUCAUUCCCUUCCCCGCUCCAACUGAGCCGGCUUGGGGCUGGAAGCCUGCAUGGGAAAGGGGUGAGGUUGGCUGCUCCCCCUUUCCCGUCUGGCUCUGUUUUCUACUUCCCUGCUUGCAAGGUUGGAGCUCUGAGGCAGAAAAUUGGCCCAACGCUUGCUCCUGGUUCUCACACUAACGCAGAGAGCGGUCGACUUGUGUACAGCGUCCCCAUGACUGCUGUGACAAAAAGACAGACCCAAGCUUGAUGUCUUCAAACAAUUCUCUCACGGCUCUGGAGGACAGAAGUCUGACAUCACUUUCCUUUGGCUGUGUCCACGGAACUGCGUUUCCUCCAGGGAAGGAGCCACUUUUGAUCUGGUCCAGCUGGCGUGGUGUCUGCCAUUACUUCACUUGUGACCUCAUCACCUCCACCAUGGCCAUGUGAGGACUUGGAUGUAAAAACGCUGUCCACAGACCCAUGCGCUUGAACGCUUGGUCCCCUGCCGAUGGCAUUAUUUGGGAAGUGUGGGAACGUUGGAAGGUCAAGCCUAGCUGGAGGAAGGAAGUGGGUUGACGGGACUGGGGGAUUGGGUGGACACUGCGUUUUAUGAACGGGCCCCUCCUCUCUGUCUUUUCGGUGCCCCCCCCUGAUUGCCCCUGAGAUGUGGCUAUGCUUGUGCUCCCACAGUGACAGGACGUUUCUGCCACCGCGCUUUCUUUCCCCGCUGUGGUGGACUGCUUUCUCUCAACUGGACGCCAGAGUAAACCUUCUCUUCCUGAA